rnacentral:rRNA from 1 species
AGUGGGACACGGCCCAGACUCCUACGGGAGGCAGCAGUGGGGAAUAUUGGACAAUGGGGGGAACCUGAUCCAGCCAUGCCGCGUGUGUGAAGAAGGCCUUUUGGUUGUAAAGCACUUUAAGCGAGGAGGAGGCUACCGAGAUUAAUACUCUUGGAUAGUGGACGUUACUCGCAGAAUAAGCACCGUCUAACUCUGUGCCAGCAGCCGCGGUAAUACAGAGGGUGCAAGCGUUAAUCGGAUUUACUGGGCGUAAAGCGCGCGUAGGUGGCCAAUUAAGUCAAAUGUGAAAUCCCCGAGCUUAACUUGGGAAUUGCAUUCGAUACUGGUUGGCUAGAGUAUGGGAGAGGAUGGUAGAAUUCCAGGUGUAGCGGUGAAAUGCGUAGAGAUCUGGAGGAAUACCGAUGGCGAAGGCAGCCAUCUGGCCUAAUUCUGACACUGAGGUGCGAAAGCAUGGGGAGCAAACAGGAUUAGAUACCCUGGUAGUCCAUGCCGUAAACGAUGUCUACUAGCCGUUGGGGCCUUUGAGGCUUUAGUGGCGCAGCUAACGCGAUAAGUAGACCGCCUGGGGAGUACGGUCGCAAGACUAAAACUCAAAUGAAUUGACGGGGGCCCGCACAAGCGGUGGAGCAUGUGGUUUAAUUCGAUGCAACGCGAAGAACCUUACCUGGUCUUGACAUAGUAAGAACUUUCCAGAGAUGGAUUGGUGCCUUCGGGAACUUACAUACAGGUGCUGCAUGGCUGUCGUCAGCUCGUGUCGUGAGAUGUUGGGUUAAGUCCCGCAACGAGCGCAACCCUUUUCCUUAUUUGCCAGCGGGUUA